GCAACCCUUGUCAUUAGUUGCCAUCAUUUGUUGGGCACUCUAAUGAGACUGCCGGUGACAAACCGGAGGAAGGUGGGGAUGACGUCAAGUCCUCAUGGCCCUUAUGGGUAGGGCUUCACACGUCAUACAAUGGUCGGUACAGAGGGUUGCCAACCCGCGAGGGGGAGCUAAUCCCACAAAGCCGAUCGUAGUCCGGAUCGCAGUCUGCAACUCGACUGCGUGAAGUCAGAAUCGCUAGUAAUCGUGGAUCAGCAUGUCACGGUGAAUACGUUCCCGGGUCUU
rnacentral:rRNA from 1 species